CCUACGGGGGGCUGCAGUGGGGAAUAUUGGACAAUGGGCGAAGGCCUGAUCCAGCCAUGCCGCGUGUGUGAAGAAGGCCUUCGGGUUGUAAAGCACUUUCAGUGGGGAAGAAAGCCUUGGGGCUAAUACCCUCGAGGAAGGACAUCACCCACAGAAGAAGCACCGGCUAACUCCGUGCCAGCAGCCGCGGUAAUACGGAGGGUGCGAGCGUUAAUCGGAAUUACUGGGCGUAAAGCGCGCGUAGGCGGUCUGAUAAGCCGGUUGUGAAAGCCCCGGGCUCAACCUGGGAACGGCAUCCGGAACUGUCAGGCUAGAGUGCAGGAGAGGAAGGUAGAAUUCCCGGUGUAGCGGUGAAAUGCGUAGAGAUCGGGAGGAAUACCAGUGGCGAAGGCGGCCUUCUGGACUGACACUGACGCUGAGGUGCGAAAGCGUGGGUAGCAAACAGGAUUAGAUACCCCGGUAGUC
rnacentral:rRNA from 1 species